UGGGGAAUAUUGCACAAUGGGCGAAAGCCUGAUGCAGCGACGCCGCGUGAGGGAUGACGGCCUUCGGGUUGUAAACCUCUUUCAGCAGGGAAGAAGCGAAAGUGACGGUACCUGCAGAAGAAGCGCCGGCUAACUACGUGCCAGCAGCCGCGGUAAUACGUAGGGCGCAAGCGUUGUCCGGAAUUAUUGGGCGUAAAGAGCUCGUAGGCGGUUAGUCGCGUCUGCUGUGAAAAUCUCGAGGCUCAACCUCGGGCUUGCAGUGGGUACGGGCUGACUAGAGUGCGGUAGGGGGUGACUGGAAUUCCUGGUGUAGCGGUGGAAUGCGCAGAUAUCAGGAGGAACACCGAUGGCGAAGGCAGGUCACUGGGCCGCAACUGACGCUGAGGAGCGAAAGCAUGGGGAGCGAACAGGAUUAGAUACCCUGGUAGUCCAUGCCGUAAACGUUGGGCACUAGGUGUGGGGUCCAUUCCACGGAUUCCGUGCCGCAGC
rnacentral:rRNA from 1 species